CACUUGCUUGGGACGCUUCGACAAACGCACACGUGUGUAAAACGUGCACGAUAAAUUAUCCUCUUACUCUCUCACUUUCCUCUUAUCUAUCCUUAAUCAUUAUAUUUCUUUUCUAUUAUUCUAAUAUUCUCAAACGUGAGAUAAAUUGUUGGUCUUAUUUCUCUCUCUUUUAUUCACAAUAAUAAUAUAUAUAUUUAAAAUAAUAAUAAAAAGAAAAUCCGGAGUGAUAAUAUAAUGGCGGAAGGAUUUUCUGUGCUGCAUAAAAGUGUGUUUAAUUGUGUAUGAAAUAGAAUUCAUUUUAUUCUCUUAUAGGAAAGAUGCAAGAUAAAAAUAAUUGUUGAAAAAGUUGUGAACGUUUUCGUAUAUAAAGUACAAAGUUUGUGUGUUAAAGAUAGACAUCGAGGUGAAACAAUAAGAAGAACGCGAGAUAUCAAAGAUCGAGAAUUAUUUAAAAAUUAUUUUACGAACAAGGAUAAUUUAUUGUAAACAAUAUGAACGAUGUAUCUAACAAAUCGCUCUUUCGACAAUUUCUCGAUCCACCCUCAAUGGAACGGCAAAGACUUUUGUUUCAAUAAUCGUCAAAUAAUUGAUCGAUCUUACGAAAGGAUCGAUGAAAAUGCGAAGGAAGGUGUUGUUAAUUAUUUCGGAGAUAGAUUUAAUUUGAUUUGAAAGAAAUGUAUUACAUUCGUGUCAGACACCUGUCAUCGUCUUCGUUAAUAUCGUCCGUCAUCGAUCCAAAAAUUUAAUUAUUAUCGUAUUGGAAAUCGAACGAGAGAAAAGUGAAUCAUCAUCGGUGACAAGGUUUAUCGAUUAUCAAAAAGAAGUUACUUGGAAUACGCGAAUUUGCAGAAUGAACGCUUCGUGGACAACGUAUAAAGAUCCUGGGACAUGGUCGUCCACAUUGAAUACUUCCUAUUGGAUGAACAAAAAUGAAUCCUACGGCGAAGACGAUGAAGACCUAUACGAAGUACCGACGAGUGUGACGGUCUUACUCAGUAUUUGUUACGGAAGUAUAUCCGUGAUGGCGAUCGCUGGAAAUUCUCUUGUAAUGUGGAUCGUAACUACAACACGACGAAUGCAAAACAUGACGAAUUUCUUCAUCGCCAAUCUCGCAUUAGCUGAUAUUAUUAUCGGUCUCUUUGUCAUUCCAUUCCAGUUCCAAGCGGCCUUGCUGCAAAGGUGGAACCUUCCGCACUUUAUGUGUGCCUUCUGUCCCUUCGUUCGUGUACUUUGCGUGAACGUGUCGGUGUUUACUCUCACAGCGAUCGCGAUUGAUAGACAUCGUGCCAUUCUCAAGCCACUCAGCGCCAGUCCGACAAAACUCAAAGCAAGAAUAAUCAUAGCUGGAAUCUGGAUACUGGCAACAGCUUUAGCGAUACCAAUGGCACUUGCACUCAGGGUGAUUAUAAUAGAAGAAACGUUGACCAUAUUUUCAGGUGGACGCACGCACACAAAACCGUUCUGUCAUAAUGAAAACAUGUCUGAAAAUUCGAUGCUAACAUAUCGAGCUUUAUUGGUUUUCUUACAAUACAUGACGCCUCUCUUAAUAAUAUCCGUCGUGUAUGCUCGAAUGGCUAGAACGCUUUGGGGUAGCAAAGCACCUGGAAACGCAGAAGAUUCGCGUGAUGCUACUUUUAUGAAAAAUAAAAAAAAGGAAAAUUAUAGCCUCGAAGUCAUCACUGUACAGGAGCGUCAAUAUAUUUACAUAAAAGUGAAGAUAUUCGUCUUACAGUCACGCGAAACAAAUGCAUUUCUGAAGGCAUACACACGUUUAUAUACACUAAAAAUUAAAUAUAAUUAUUUAAAAUUCUAUUACAAUAUAACUAUACCAUAUAUACUGUCAAAGAAUAUAUCUUAUACUAUCACACUAUCAAAGAAUACUGUAUUCCUUGCUGUACCGUCGUCGCGUUAAGUACCUACUAUUGCCCUCUGCUGAUUCCGGUAGUAACUAAGAUGAAUCUGGGUAGAUAAAGAAGGAACUUGUGAGCUAUAUACUUGACAUUACCGAUACAGUAUGGAACAUUACCGACCUUCCAACUUGUACUUAAAAAAGAAACAAUUAUAAAAUAUAAUUUCUUUUCAUAAGAUUCAUUUUUUUUUUUAAAUAAUAAAAAUAGGUUAUCAAAAUGUUGGUAAUUGUUGUCGUAUUGUUCGCGAUGUGCUGGUUACCAUUACAAUCAUACAACGUCUUGCAAUACACUUAUCCAAAAAUAAAUCAGUAUCAAUACAUAAACAUUAUAUGGUUCUGUUGCGAUUGGCUAGCAAUGUCAAAUAGUUGCUGCAAUCCAUUCGUUUAUGGUAUAUACAAUAAUCAUUAUAGGAAAAAUUCAAACGAGAAUUUCAACAGAGAUGCCCAUUUCGAUCUCGAAGAUUGUCAACAAGUCCACCAACCGAC
rnacentral:misc_RNA from 1 species